rnacentral:rRNA from 1 species
CCAGCAGCCGCGGUAAUUCCAGCUCCAAUAGCGUAUAUUAAAGUUGUUGCAGUUAAAAAGCUCGUAGUUGGAUUUCUGUGAGAGUGCCGGUGUCGGCUGAUGCUUGUACGCAGGCGCUCUUACAUCCUUCUGUUAACUGUUCUUGGCAUUUUAUUGCUGGUUCAGGGCUCAGAUAUUUUACCUUGAGAAAAUUAGAGUGUUUCAGGCAGGCUUAUGCCGGAAUACAUUAGCAUGGAAUAAUGGAAUAGGACCUGUGCGUCUCUCGGGGCGCCGGUCUCCGUUGUUGGUUUCGGGGACUAAUGUAAUGAUUAAUAGGGAUAGUUGGGGGCAUUAGUAUUUAAUAG